UCUCCGUAGGUGAACCAGCGGAGGGAUCAUUCAAAGUAGCGGCGAAAUGGCGCUUAUAUCAAUCGAGAACCUACUCAUCAGCGAUGUCAGGGCGGGUGCGUUCUCAUGAGCGCUAAACGGGAACCAUUAUCGCAACUCUUUGUCUGAAAAAUAUGAUGGCUGGAACAACUCAAAAUACAUCUUUCAAUAACGGAUCUCUUGGCUCUCGCACCGAUGAACAACACUUCAAACCAGAGGAGCAUUCGUUUUAACUCCGGUCAAUAACGACGCAGUUCGGAG
rnacentral:misc_RNA from 1 species